rnacentral:rRNA from 1 species
AGUCGGAAUCCGCCAAGGAGUGUGUAACAACUCACCUGCCGAAUGAAUUAGCCCUGAAAAUGGAUGGCGCUUAAGCGGGCGGCCGACACCUUGCCGUCUGGACAAGAAUUUCAGAUGAGUAGGAGGGCGUGGCGGCCGUGUCGAAGCGCGCGUGCAGACGCGUGUGGAACGGCCGCUAGUGCAGAUCUUGGUGGUAGUAGCAAGUAUUCAAGCGAGAUCCUUGAAGGGCGAAGUGGGGAAGGGUUUCACGCGAACAUUGAUUGGGCGUGAGUGAGUCGUUCCUAAGCCGAGUGGCAAUUGCUAAUUAACGGCGAAAGGGAAGCGGGUUGACAUUCCCGCACACGGAUGUGGAGGCGGCGACGCAUUAUUGGGGCGAACACGCUGGCGGUGGCGCUGGGCAGAGUUGUCUUUUCUGUUUGACCGCUUGCGCACGCAGUGUGGAAUCCGCUUGUCGGGAGAAACACGCGUGUCCGGGCAGAGCGCUGGGGCUUUUCCAGCGUCCAGCUCGCCACCGACGGCCCUUGAAACUUUGCCUGCUGAUUUAAGAUCCACGCCGUGGCGUACCGAUCACCGCAUCAGGUCCCCAAGGUGAACAGCCUCUGCUCAAUAUGAAAAAUGCAGGUAAGGGAAGUCGGCAAAUUAGACCCGUAACUUUGGGAAAAGGGUUGGCUCUAGUGCUGCGUGGGAGUGGUUGUCGGAUGCUGGCGUUUUUAGCGUGGCGGCCUGGCGCGGGGCCUCUUCGUAGGACCUGUUCCAGCUGCUAUGCCGAUGGCGCCACAGCCGACGACGCCCACAGCAUGCAGCAGACUAGAACUGCAACGGGCAAAGGGAAUCCGACUGUUUAAUUAAAACAAAGCAUUGCGAGGGC